rfam:Triticum urartu cultivar G1812 contig972582, whole genome shotgun sequence.
UCAAGGUUUAUACCAACAGUAAAGCAACGAAUCCCAUCAGAAUAACAAAGUUAAGCAUGCUUGAACGAGAGUAGUACUAGAAUGGGUGACGCCCUGGGAAGUCCUGGUGUUGCGUGCC